UUUCGACGGGGUGCUUAAAUGCUGAGAUUUAUACCCUAGAACCUGAUCCAGGUAAUUCUGGCGUAGGAACAUUUAUGAAA
rnacentral:ncRNA from 1 species